rnacentral:rRNA from 1 species
AUUGAACGCUGGCGGCGUGCUUAACACAUGCAAGUCGAGCGAGAAAGUUCUCUUCGGAGAAUGAGUAGAGCGGCGCACGGGUGAGUAACGCGUGGGUAAUCUGCCCUGAAGAUCGGGAUAACAGUUGGAAACGACUGCUAAUACCGGAUAUCCUGCAUAUUUAACUUUAUGUGGAAAAGAUGGCCUCUGUUUCAAGCUAUUGCUUCAGGAUGAGCCCGCGUCUCAUUAGAUAGUUGGUGGGGUAAUGGCCUACCAAGUCAACGAUGAGUAGCUGGUCUGAGAGGAUGAUCAGCCACACUGGGACUGAAACACGGCCCAGACUCCUACGGAGCAGCAGUGGGAAUAUGCGCAAUGGGGGAAACCCUGACGCAGCGACGCCGCGUGCAGGAA